rnacentral:tRNA from 1 species
UUAAAUGAAGCCAAAUUAUGAGGCAUUUUAUUGUUAAUAAAAUAAGUGAAAUUUUUUCCAUUUAAA